rnacentral:sRNA from 1 species
CAUUACUGAGUUUACGCUCUACAACCCUUUGUGAACAUACCUACAACUGUUGCUUCGGCGGGCAGGGUCUCCGUGACCCUCCCGGCCUCCCGCCCCCGGGCGGGUCGGCGCCCGCCGGAGGAUAACCAAACUCUGAUUUAACGACGUUUCUUCUGAGUGGUACAAGCAAAUAAUCAAAACUUUUAACAACGGAUCUCUUGGUUCUGGCAUCGAUGAAGAACGCAGCGAAAUGCGAUAAGUAAUGUGAAUUGCAGAAUUCAGUGAAUCAUCGAAUCUUUGAACGCACAUUGCGCCCGCCAGCAUUCUGGCGGGCAUGCCUGUUCGAGCGUCAUUUCAACCCUCAAGCUCUGCUUGGUGUUGGGGCCCUACGGCUGACGUAGGCCCUCAAAGGUAGUGGCGGACCCUCCCGGAGCCUCCUUUGCGUAGUAACUUUACGUCUCGCACUGGGAUCCGGAGGGACUCUUGCCGUAAAACCCCCAAUUUUCCAAAGGUUGACCUCGGAUCAGGUAGGAAUACCCGCUGAACUUAAGCAUAUCAAUA